GCUCCCUUCCCAUUUUCCAAAACCGUGAACUGAUGUGAACUGGUGCGAAUCGGCUGACGACUCUUCGGCUUGAAAAAUGUCAUAACUAAUCGCUUGUGAUGACAUCAAAUAUGAUGGAUUAUGAAUUCAAAGUGAAAACUCAGAAGGAUCGUACUAAAGUUGAAGAUUUGUUUGAGUUUGAGGGGUGUAAAGUCGGGAGGGGGACCUAUGGACAUGUAUACAAGGCGCGGAGAAAAGAAGGAGUCCCUGAUAGCGAGUUGAAGUCACGCCCAGAUACAAAAGAUUUCGGUCUGAAACAAAUCGAAGGCACUGGACUUUCUAUGUCAGCAUGUCGUGAGAUUGCACUUCUGAGGGAAUUGAAACAUACCAAUGUGAUAACAUUGAUACGAGUGUUUCUAUCUCAUAAUGAUCGAAAAGUGUGGCUCCUUUUUGACUUUGCAGAGCACGAUUUAUGGCAUAUAAUCAAAUUUCAUAGAGCUGCAAAAGCGAAUAAAAAACCUGUUAUGGUUCCAAAGGGUAUGGUGAAGUCACUUUUAUAUCAGAUUUUAGAUGGAAUUCAUUAUUUACAUUCAAACUGGGUUCUUCAUAGAGAUUUGAAACCAGCAAACAUACUAGUGAUGGGGGAAGGUGUUGAGAGAGGGCGAGUGAAAAUAGCUGACAUGGGAUUUGCACGUUUAUUUAAUGCACCAUUGAAACCUUUAGCAGACUUGGAUCCUGUUGUUGUAACUUUUUGGUAUAGAGCUCCUGAGCUUUUACUAGGUGCAAGACAUUACACAAAAGCAAUUGAUAUCUGGGCUAUCGGAUGUAUAUUUGCUGAACUUCUGACAUCAGAACCUAUAUUUCAUUGUAGACAAGAAGAUAUUAAAACUAGUAAUCCAUAUCAUCAUGAUCAACUUGAUAGGAUAUUCAACGUUAUGGGUUUUCCAUUGGAAAAAGAUUGGGAAGAUAUCAAGAAAAUGCCAGAGCAUCCUACGCUCUUGAAAGACUUUAAGCGGUCAAACUAUGCAAAUUGUUCACUAACCAAGUAUAUGGAUCGCCAUAAAAUUAAACCGGAUAGCAAGGCCUUCAAUUUGCUGCAAAAACUAUUGAUGAUGGACCCUAAUAAGAGGAUAACAUCAGAACAUUCCAUGCAGGAUGCGUAUUUUCAGGAAGAGCCUUUGCCAACCCAGGAUAUUUUUGCUGGUUGUGCUAUCCCAUAUCCAAAAAGAGAAUUUUUGACUGACGAUGAUACCGAAGAAAAAAGUGAAAACAAGGCGAGACAAAAUCAACAACAAACAGUAAGCAUAUCUUUUGAACUAUCGUCCAGCCAUGGAUUGAAUUUUGAAUUCUUACUUUUACAUUAUGUGCUCGCACCCAGCUUUGUAUGAUUUUAUCAAUUCAUUCUUGCAUUAUUGAUUAUUUUUAUGACAAAAUGCUAUCUAGCAUUGAAUUAUCUCUCAGUAGUGAUUACUCACGAUAUUUUUAUGUUCUGUCAGUGAUUUGUUUCAAACUUAUUAAUUAUUUUCAUCAUUUAAUUUGAAUCAUUGAAUUAUUCAAUUACGUCAAUCCUUUUAUAUUACAUAGAACUGGCAUAUAUCAAAUUUGAAAUGGUAGUAUUAGAGGUCGGUUGAUUCAAUUCUUUGUCUUACACAUUCAAGACUUUUAUUUCUGCCCACCGGUUUGCUAUGUUUUGUGCUAUGCAAUCAAAGAUGAAGACGAUUAACGAAUCACUCAAUAUUUCUAAACACUUUUGCUUCUUCAUCUAUCUGGCUGUACUGUGAGAGAUUUACUUAGUCUAAGCUUUCAUAGGACAUAGUUUAUAGGAGUACACUAUUGAAUACAUUUAAGUUUGACGAGCGACGAAAUAUGCAGUGACACCUGGACGAGUCUUGCCAUGUAUAGUUAUAAGUCGUUAAGCCGGAGCCCGAGUGCAUAUCCGGUCAUUUUUUACUGCCUGAGUGAAUAUUAUGCGGAUGAAAGUUGACCUCGCGAAGGUCAACAGAGGUUUUGUGCCUGUACGGUGCUUUGCGAACUCGCUGACUGAACUCGGCGAACCGUUCUAUUAGAUCUGCAAAUGAUAAGUGUCAUUAGUUUUAAUGAUCAAUUAUGCGUAUAGGGACAAUGCGAGAGAACUUAUUUGCAGCAACGACCCAGUAUUGCAUUAGUGGAUCAUUUCCAUCUUCGAUCCACGUUAUUAAAAGUGAUGAAAUAUGGGCGUGCAAAUGUAUAUAUAUGUGGCGUAUAUUUGAUCUAAUGCAGGUAAAUACAAUGAUUGUAAUGAUGAGGAGCGGCAAACUAUUGAGAAAGCUCACAUAGUUGAAAGAUGUCAUUAUCGCUGUUAAUGAGUGCAGUGUCGCAUUUUCAGAUGUACGAACAAAAGUAAAACUGUUGCUGCAAAUGGCAAUUCCACUGUAUUGUCAAUUUAAUUGAAUAUAUUUCGUUCUUCGUAGGUAUCAGCUAAAUGUUAAAAAUGUGAGCUGUUUACUGUGAAGAUUACGAGAUUACAUUGACUGAAUGUACAAGGUCAGCCUGGUCGUCUCAAUUUUUCUAGGCUUACUAACAUCAACCUUGCUUGUGCAUGCACUGAACCUGUAAUGAAGCGUUGUAGUCAGAAAAACAUGACUCACAUCGGUAAAGUACAUAAUUAGUUAUCGUGCAGGCACUAGUUUUAAUAUUUGCCAUAGAAAAUAUGAUAGAUUCCACAACAUUUUCAGCAGGUAUGUAUUAAUCAAGACUCCAAAUAACUGAAUUUUCAUUUUUAUUAUGUUAGGUCCAUGAAGAUAUCCAGAUAUUUGUUGUGUGAAUACAAUUAAAAAAUUUGAAUCAUUCUAAAACUGUUUCUAAGUUUUCAGAAUAUUUCAGUUAGGGAAAGUUUUACGUCUAGGCAUAAUUCGUGUGAACCGAUGUACAUGAAAAUUGCACAGACAUAAGCGAAAACUUGGUCAGGACGGUCUUUUGAAAUAUUACAAAAUUCUUCUUUGCGUUACAUUGAAUAUGGUGGCCACCAAAUUUAGUUACUGAUUGUGCCAACGCAACAAAGGGAGGUACGUGCCAAAUUUAUGGUGGGGCGCCAAAGCUGUAGGUGAGCCAGCCGAGGAAAUAACAUGCAGAUUUGAAGCAAAUCCGAACUGAUUAAGGCUGGGACUUGUUAAGACUGAAAAAUUAU